UGCUUCAACCAAUCCUUUUCUCUUAGACUCAUCAACAAGCCAUUUUACAUCAAUCCCCUACACUUGAACAAAACUCCUCUUUGAGUUUGUGCUAUUUCCUUGAAACUUCAUUAAAGGUAAUUGAUUUAGUUUAUACUUUGGUGCUCAUCCAUGCUCGAUAUGUUCUUUGUUAAGUAAAUUGCCCCUCCACUUGAAAAGUUCUAACUCUACAUUCUUUGUUAUUGAUGCAAGAAAAAUCUUCUUUCCCAUCUUUUAGAAAACAUAAACAUGCAUUAUCUUUUUCCUUUGUGAG
rnacentral:lncRNA from 1 species